GUUUCCCUGUUCGGUGACUAAAAGUAGGCUAUCAUUUGUAUUCUAAGCUUUAAUGAUUAAUCAGUAUUCAGAGCUUUUUUUUUUUUUUUCACGUAGCUAUAUGCUACGUGACAUUACCAGAGCGAGGGAGGGAAACCAAGCGAGACCAAGCAGAGAAGCGAGAGAGGUUGAGGAAGAAUAGAUAUAUGGUUUCCCUUAACUUUAUAACACAACAUUAGCCGGAUCUCGGGAGGAAAGUAAUGCUUAGCGAAAUGCUAACCUUAUCUUAGCUGUUUGUUUAAGUUCGCUGUACAGCACCGCCGCCGCGCCAAUCAACUGUGGCUGGCUUGCUGCAGAGCGGGAGCGUCUUAUAUAUUGUGGCGACUCCUACGGGGGUCACGCCGGGGAUUCUGAGAAUCCGUGAUGCCGGUUGGGGAAAAGGGGUUUUAUUGUAUUUUUGUGUUGGGGUAAACGGGUUUGGGGUGUGUGCUCGGUAGAGUGAAGUUGUGUGUUGUGGAGUGUUUACUUGUUGUGUGUAGUGUUGCCGCUGUCAUGCCAAAUUUGUACCGGCCUACGUCAUCAGUUGUUGACAACUUGACAACUGAUUUGAUUGGGUUGUCCGUUGCCGGGCAGGUUUCAAAAAACAAGACGAAAUAACAUAAUACAGAUAACGGAUCGCUAGAUAACACUUGUUUUUACUAUAUAUUUGUGUUGGAUUGAAUUGUUUAAUCGAAUUUAGCUAGUAAACUGAGUGUUUAAAGCAGGUUUCAAAAACCAUUCGCGCUUAUGUUGCCGAACACCAAAUAACAUAAUACAGAUAACGGAUCGCUAGAUAACACUUGUUUUUACUUUAUAUUUGUAUUGUAUUGAAUUGUUUCAAAAACUUGUCUUGUCACGCUCAAUGAAGGAGUGCAAUGAACGAGCAUGAAAGUUCGCGAAUGUUCAAGAACCUUCCUACGUCAUUCGACGCGAUCGCCCGUUGCCAGGCAGGUUUGGAAUUUGUCAACAACUGAUGACGUAGGCCGGUACAAAUUUGGCAGCCGGUACAAAUUUGGCAUGACACCGCCACCGUUACCGAGAAUUACAUGUCUGUUGGUUGGGUGUGCGGUGCGCUCUGUGUUGUGUGUCGUGUUAAAUAUAGGCAGCGCUCGUAGUCGUGCGGUGUAUGGGGUACGAGGGGCGUCAUCACUUAACCUGGGCUCCCGUCUCGUCCUUCUCGCCACAAUAUGGACACAUAAGACAAUCAAUACUCGGUAUUUGUUAUGGAUUUAUUGUACAAAUUCCCUGAAAAGAUGCACGUUCCAGGAUGAAUUGAAAGGCUCCCAUAAGGGCUGAGAUGGCAGAGGACAGCUGAUUUGGAACGCAACAACAGCUGUUCGCUUCCACAGGGAAAAACGAAGGAACUCCAACUUACUUAGGCCUACUAAUUAACGUUCAAAAGCUAUUAAUCUUCAAGAAAAUAGGCAGAUACUGUCAUCAAAUUAGGGAGUAUAUAGGGAUUAUUAAUGUUUUUGAUGGCGUGUUUUUCUGGAACGAGUAUUCGAAUACUCGCUCGGAAAAACCAACGAGUAUUCGAAGCCUGAAAAGUGGCAUUCGGGCCAGCCCUUGCGAUACAACUGCACACCGUCAUGACGCCCGUCUUUACGACGGCAGUUCAAGGAAACUUUGGCUUGAAGCACCUUCAUGUAUCAUCAUGAAUUGGUCUGCAUAUAACGAUAAUCAUAGUUAUACGGAUGUAGUUAACCACUUUGGAUGCAUGAAACUUUGGCUUGAAGCACCUUCAUGUAUCAUCAUGAAUUGGUCCAUAUAUAUGGCGAUAAUCAUAGUUAUAUGGAUGUAGUUAACCACUUUGGAUGCAUGCAUAGCCUAGCCAACUCAAAAUCUAGUUA